rnacentral:rRNA from 1 species
AACGAACGCUGGCGGCAUGCCUAACACAUGCCAGUCGAACGAGACCUUCGGGUCUAGUGGCGCACGGGUGCGUAACGCGUGGGAACCUGCCCUUAGGUUCGGAAUAACUCCCCGAAAGGGGUGCUAAUACCGGAUAAUGUCUUCGGGCCAAAGAUUUAUCGCCUUUGGAUGGGCCCGCGUUGGAUUAGCUAGUUGGUAGGGUAAAAGCCUACCAAGGCGACGAUCCAUAGCUGGUCUGAGAGGAUGAUCAGCCACACUGGGACUGAGACACGGCCCAGACUCCUACGGGAGGCAGCAGUGGGGAAUAUUGGACAAUGGGCGAAAGCCUGAUCCAGCAAUGCCGCGUGAGUGAUGAAGGCCUUAGGGUUGUAAAGCUCUUUUACCCGGGAUGAUAAUGACAGUACCGGGAGAAUAAGCGCCGGCUAACUCCGUG